rnacentral:rRNA from 1 species
AGAGUUUGAUCCUGGCUCAGGAUGAACGCUGGCGGCGUGCCUAACACAUGCAAGUCGAGCGAACCCUUCGGGGUGAGCGGCGGACGGGUGAGUAACGCGUGGGUAACCUGCCCUGUACACACGGAUAACAUACCGAAAGGUAUGCUAAUACGAGAUAAUAUAUUUUAAUCGCAUGGUUAAGAUAUCAAAGCUCUGGCGGUACAGGAUGGACCCGCGUCUGAUUAGCUAGUUGGUGAGGUAAUGGCUCACCAAGGCGACGAUCAGUAGCCGACCUGAGAGGGUGAUCGGCCACACUGGAACUGAGACACGGUCCAGACUCCUACGGGAGGCAGCAGUGGGGAAUAUUGCACAAUGGGCGAAAGCCUGAUGCAGCAACGCCGCGUGAGCGAUGAAGGCCUUCGGGUCGUAAAGCUCUGUCCUCAAGGAAGAUAAUGACGGUACUUGAGGAGGAAGCCCCGGCUAACUACGUGCCAGCAGCCGCGGUAAUACGUAGGGGGCUAGCGUUAUCCGGAAUUACUGGGCGUAAAGGGUGCGUAGGCGGUCUUUCAAGCCAGAAGUGAAAGGCUACGGCUCAACCGUAGUAAGCUUUUGGAACUGUAAGACUUGAGUGCAGGAGAGGAGAGUGGAAUUCCUAGUGUAGCGGUGAAAUGCGUAGAUAUUAGGAGGAACACCAGUAGCGAAGGCGGCUCUCUGGACUGUAACUGACGCUGAGGCACGAAAGCGUGGGGAGCAAACAGGAUUAGAUACCCUGGUAGUCCACGCCGUAAACGAUGAGUACUAGGUGUCGGGGGUUACCCCCCUCGGUGCCGCAGCUAACGCAUUAA